rfam:Daphnia magna strain Xinb3 scaffold01274, whole genome shotgun sequence.
AAAAAGGGUGCUUACCUAUCCCUAAUGGUACACUCAUUGAAAUUCCCCUAAAGGGAUGGUGGGUGGGGUAUGGCCAUCAAGACAUACCCAGCACGUAAUUUUUGGACCUGGGACAGUUGAUGAUGCAUCGGCGUCCCC